CUUCUGCCAUGUGAGGACACAGAGAGAAGUCUGCAGCAGAACCUGACCAUGCUGGCAAGGGCCCUCAUUUUAGUAGCUCUUCGUUAUCCCCUCCAGGCAGAGAAGAGUAAUCUUUGGGAAGACAUGACACAAGAAACCCCUGGGCCCCUGAGGGUAGAUGACAGAAGUGGGAGAAGAAGGGAUCUCCACAGAAGCCUUGCUCCCCCCUGGGUGUGAGUGGCUCUGGAGACAACAAAUUGAGGUUCUGCUGUGAUGACAUCAAGCAGGGCAUCUUGACACAGCCUGGGGCAGAGAUGGGACAGGGAUCACAAAUGAGAUGUAACUGACAAUUACACACAAUACUUAUUAAUUUUUUAGAGGCUUGGAAAUAAAAUGAUUUCUUUUUA